UACAGAGGGUGCGAGCGUUGUUCGGAAUUAUUGGGCGUAAAGGGCGCGUAGGCGGUGCGGUAAGUCACCUGUGAAAUCUCCUGGCUCAACUGGGAGCUUGCAGGCGAAACUGCCGUGCUGGAGUGUGGGAGAGGUGCGUGGAAUUCCUGGUGUAGCGGUGAAAUGCGUAGAUAUCAGGAGGAACACCUGUGGCGAAGGCAGCAAACUGGUCAUCAACUGACGCUGAGGCGCGAAAGCGUGGGUAGCAAACAGG
rnacentral:rRNA from 1 species